rnacentral:snoRNA from 1 species
CUGCAGCCAAGUAAGCUGACUGUGCUCUUUCCCCAUGGGGGCCCAGUGUGCCAGGGCUGCAGACAGCCUCCUUGGUAUUGUAUGCAGCCUGUUGAUUGUAUGGGUUGCCCUAAGCAGCCUUGGAGACAGCC